rnacentral:rRNA from 1 species
AGGGCACCACCAGGAGUGGAGCCUGCGGCUUAAUUUGACUCAACACGGGGAAACUCACCCGGCCCGGACACCGGAAGGAUUGACAGAUUGAUAGCUCUUUCUUGAUUCGGUGGAUGGUGGUGCAUGGCCGUUCUUAGCUGGUGGAGCGAUCUGUCUGGUUAAUUCCGAUAACGAACGAGACUCUGGCCUACUAAAUAGAGACAGGAUUAUUACUGUCCUGGAUUCUUCUUAGAGGGACAAGUGGUUUUCAGCCACACGAAAUUGAGCAAUAACAGGUCUGUGAUGCCCUUAGAUGUCCGGGGCUGCACGCGCGCUACACUGAAGGAAUCAGCGUGCUAAAACCAUUGUCGAAAGGCAUUGGUAAACCCCUCAAAAUCCUACGUGAUUGGGAUCGGGAAUUGCAAUUAUUUCCCUUGAACGAGGAAUUCCCAGUAAGUGUGGGUCAUAAGCUCGCGUUGAUUACGUCCCUGCCCUUUGUACACACCGCCCGUCGCUGCCCGGGACUGAGCCGUUUCGAGA